GAGUUUGAUCUUGGCUCAGAUUGAACGCUGGCGGCAUGCCUUACACAUGCAAGUCGAACGGCAGCACGGGAGCUUGCUCCUGGUGGCGAGUGGCGAACGGGUGAGUAAUGCAUCGGAACGUAUCCUGGAGUGGGGGAUAACGUAGCGAAAGUUACGCUAAUACCGCAUAUUCUGUGAGCAGGAAAGCGGGGGACCUUCGGGCCUCGCGCUCUUGGAGCGGCCGAUGUCGGAUUAGCUAGUUGGUGAGGUAAAGGCUCACCAAGGCGACGAUCCGUAGCAGGUCUGAGAGGAUGGUCUGCCACACUGGAACUGAGACACGGUCCAGACUCCUACGGGAGGCAGCAGUGGGGAAUUUUGGACAAUGGGGGCAACCCUGAUCCAGCCAUGCCGCGUGAGUGAAGAAGGCCUCGGUGUAAGACGUCUUCGUCG
rnacentral:rRNA from 1 species